GAGAGCAGUGUGUGUUGCCUGG
rnacentral:miRNA from 1 species